GACUCCUUAUGAGGAAUGUGAGAAGCCCAAGCCAACUCCUGCUCCUUACCACUACAUAUCUCCUCCGCCACCAACUUAUGUCUAUAAAUCACCACCACCUCCACCACCAACUUACCUAUACAAGUCACCGCCACCACCAGUGAAACCUCCACCAAAGCCGUAUUAUUACGUCUCCCCACCACCACCAACUUAUGUCUAUAAAUCACCACCACCUCCACCACCAACUUACCUAUACAAGUCACCGCCACCACCGGUGAAACCUCCGCCAAAGCCGUAUCAUUACGUCUCCCCACCACCACCUACUGUAUCUCCACCGCAUUAUUACUACACAUCACCACCACCACCGGUGAAACCUCCGCCAAAGCCGUAUCAUUACAUCUCCCCACCACCACCGGAGAAAUCUCCACCACCACCCUAUCCUUACAUCUCCCCGCCACCGCCGGAGAAAUCUCCACCACCACCCUAUCCUUACAUCUCCCCACCACCGCCGGAGAAAUCUCCACCACCGCCCUAUCCUUACAUCUCCCCGCCACCGCCGGAGAAAUCUCCACCACCACCCUAUCCUUACAUCUCCCCGCCACCGCCGGAGAAAUCUCCACCACCACCCUAUCCUUACAUCUCCCCGCCACCGCCGGAGAAAUCUCCACCACCACCCUAUCCUUACAUCUCCCCACCACCGCCGGAGAAAUCUCCACCACCACCUUAUCCUUACAUCUCCCCGCCACCGCCGGAGAAAUCUCCACCACCACCCUAUCCUUACAUCUCCCCGCCACCGCCGGAGAAAUCUCCACCACCACCUUAUCCUUACAUCUCCCCACCACCGCCGGAGAAAUCUCCACCACCUCCAUACCACUACACCUCACCUCCCCCACCCGAAAAAUCACCUCCUCCACCAGUCUACACUUAUGCUUCUCCCCCACCCCCAACUCACUACUGAGCUCCAACAGCUCCGCCACUUUCCACCUUCAAGAA
rnacentral:lncRNA from 1 species